rnacentral:rRNA from 1 species
GAUGAACGCUAGCGACAGGCUUAACACAUGCAAGUCGAGGGGCAGCACAGGUAGCAAUACCGGGUGGCGACCGGCGCACGGGUGAGUAACGCGUAUGCAACUUACCUAUCAGAGGGGGAUAACCCGGCGAAAGUCGGACUAAUACCGCAUGAAGCAGGGGUCCCGCAUGGGGAUAUUUGCUAAAGAUUCAUCGCUGAUAGAUAGGCAUGCGUUCCAUUAGGCAGUUGGCGGGGUAACGGCCCACCAAACCGACGAUGGAUAGGGGUUCUGAGAGGAAGGUCCCCCACAUUGGUACUGAGACACGGACCAAACUCCUACGGGAGGCAGCAGUGAGGAAUAUUGGUCAAUGGCCGAGAGGCUGAACCAGCCAAGUCGCGUGAGGGAUGAAGGUUCUAUGGAUCGUAAACCUCUUUUAUAAGGGAAUAAAGUGCGGGACCUGUCCCGUUUUGUAUGUACCUUAUGAAUAAGGAUCGGCUAACUCCGUG